GUGGGGAAUAUUGGACAAUGGGCGAAAGCCUGAUCCAGCCAUGCCGCGUGUGUGAAGAAGGUCUUCGGAUUGUAAAGCACUUUAAGUUGGGAGGAAGGGCAGUAAGUUAAUACCUUGCUGUUUUGACGUUACCGACAGAAUAAGCACCGGCUAACUUCGUGCCAGCAGCCGCGGUAAUACGAAGGGUGCAAGCGUUAAUCGGAAUUACUGGGCGUAAAGCGCGCGUAGGUGGUGUUGUAAGUUGGAGGUGAAAUCCCCAGGCUCAACCUGGGAACUGCCUCCAAAACUGCAUGACUAGAGUACGGUAGAGGGUAGUGGAAUUUCCUGUGUAGCGGUGAAAUGCGUAGAUAUAGGAAGGAACACCAGUGGCGAAGGCGACUACCUGGACUGAUACUGACACUGAGGUGCGAAAGCGUGGGGAGCAAACAGGAUUAGAAACCCGGGUAGUCC
rnacentral:rRNA from 1 species